rnacentral:rRNA from 1 species
UCAGGAUGAACGCUAGCGGCAGGCUAACACAUGCAAGUCGAGGGGCGAGCGGGAUAGCAAUAUCCGCCGGCGACCGGCGAAGGGUGCGUAACGCGUGAGCAACCUGCCCGUAUCCGGGGCAUAAGCGGUGGAAACGCCGUCUAAUUUCCCAUAACAACAGAGGCUGCAUGACCUUUGUUUGAAAGAUCCGUCGGAUACGGAUGGGCUCGCGAGACAUUAGCUAGUCGGCGUGGUAACGGCACACCGAGGCGACGAUGUCUAGGGGUUCUGAGAGGAAGGUCCCCCACACUGGAACUGAGACACGGUCCAGACUCCUACGGGAGGCAGCAGUGAGGAAUAUUGGUCAAUGGGCGCAAGCCUGAACCAGCCAUGCCGCGUGAAGGAAUGAGGCCCUUAAUGGGUCGUAAACUUCUUUUGUGGUGGAGCAAUAAGGCGUACGUGUACGCUGAUGAGAGUACAUCACGAAUAAGCAUCGGCUAACUCCGUGCCAGCAGCAGC